AGCUGAUCAACAAGCAAAGUUGUUUCGUUCACAAUUUAGAGUUUAAUAUUUAAAAUAUAAAGGAAUGUUGACUUUUAGGGAUAUAUGUACAUAUAAUAAUAUACAUAUCUUGUGGGAUAUAUCAAUUAUAAUAUCCGAAGGAAGUAAAGAUACAUCCUGAAUCGAAAAAUUCGAGGUGAAAGGUCAUUGUAUCAUUAUGCGAUUCAAAUUAUUGGAAUAAUAAUAUAUAAUCCAGUGGGUAGUGAUAAUCAUCCGUGGAUUCCCGUGGGAGAGAUAAUGCCCAUUUUUUAAGGGCUGUCAAGAUAACAGAACUUACUACCAAUAAGGCGCCCAAGAGGGAAAAUCCUGUUGGAGUUUCCCCAAAAAACAUGAUUUGCCAUAUAAAUGCGAAUACAAUAUCUGCACAUCGUGCAAUGGCAACUGGUCCAGCUUGUUCCAUUUGCAGUGAUAAUGUGAGUAAUAUUUGACCCAAAAAACUAAAUAUACCCAACACCACCACAAGCCAACGAUCUCGUCCA